AUUAACUGUUGUUUUCUUAAGCCCUAUAGAAAAUAUAUCAUAUAUUCUGACAAAACUAUUUUUUAAUAUGUUUCAGCUAACUAUGAAUGAUUUCAGUGUGCAUAGGAUAAUAGGACGUGGAGGUUUCGGAGAAGUGUAUGGAUGCCGAAAAGCAGAUACUGGAAAAAUGUAUGCUAUGAAAUGCUUAGACAAAAAACGAAUUAAGAUGAAACAAGGAGAGAUGCUAGCAUUAAAUGAACGAAACAUGUUACAGGCAGUCAGCACUGGAAUUGAUUGUCCGUUUAUUGUUUGCAUGACAUAUGCAUUUCAUACCCCGGAUAAACUUUGUUUUAUAUUAGACUUAAUGAACGGUGGUGACCUGCACUACCACCUAUCUCAACAUGGAGUUUUUAAUGAAGAUGAAAUG